GACGAACGCUGGCGGCGUGCCUAACACAUGCAAGUCGAGCGGUAACAGGUGUAGCAAUACAUGCUGACGAGCGGCGGACGGGUGAGUAACGCUUGGGAAUCUGCCUGUUAGUGGGGGACAACCCGGGGAAACUCGGGCUAAUACCGCAUAUGCUCUGAGGAGGAAAGCGGGGGACCAGCAAUGGCCUCGCGCUCUGGGAGCGGCCGAUGGCCGAUUAGCUAGUUGGUGGGGAAUGGCCCACCAAGGCGACGAUCGGUAGCUGGUCUGAGAGGAUGAUCAGCCACACUGGGACUGAGACACGGCCCAGACUCCUACGGGAGGCAGCAGGUGGGGAAUUUUGGACAAUGGGGGCAACCCUGAUCCAGCCAUGCCGCGUGCGGGAAG
rnacentral:rRNA from 1 species